rnacentral:rRNA from 1 species
GAUCCUAUGUCAAAACCAAGACUGGCGGCGUGCUUAACCCUGGCAAGUCGAACGCGAAAGGGGCUUCGGCCCUGAGUAGAGUGGCCCACGGGUGAGUAACGCGUAAGUGAUCUACCCCUGUAUCUGGAAUAACUAUGGGAAACUGUAGCUAAUACCGGAUACGUUCAUGUAGUUGCGAUUAUGUGAAGAAAGAUGGCCUCUGACAUAAGCUAUCGUACAGGGAGGAGCUUGCGGACCAUUAGCUAUUUGGUGAGGUAAGGGCUCACCAAGGCGACGAUGGUUAGCGGGUCUGAGAGGAUGAUCCGCCACACUGGAACUGAAACACGGACCAGACUCCUACGGGAGGCAGCAGUGAGGAAUAUUGCGCAAUGGGGGCAACCCUGACGCAGCGACGCCGCGUGGAUGAUGAAGGCCUUCGGGUCGUAAAAUCCUGUCGGAUGGAAAGAAGUGCAUAUAUGUUAAUACCAUGUAUGUUUGACGGUACCAUCAAAGGAAGCACCGGCUAACUCCGUGCCAGCAGCCGCGGUAAUACGGAGGGUGCAAGCGUUGUUCGGAAUUACUGGGCGUAAAGCGCGCGUAGGCGGUUUGUUAAGUCAGAUGUGAAAGCCCAGGGCUUAACCUUGGACGUGCAUUUGAAACUGGCAGACUUUGAGUAUUGGAGGGGGUGCUGGUAAUUCCGGUGUAGAGGUGAAAUUCUUAGAUAUCGUGA